ACGAAGGGUGCAAGCGUUGUUCGGAUUUAUUGGGCGUAAAGGGUGAGUAGGCGGACAAGAAAGUCAGAUGUGAAAUCUCGGGGCUCAACCCCGAAACUGCGUCUGAAACUACUAGUCUAGAAUGUCGGAGAGGGAAGGGGAAUUUCGCAUGUAGGAGUAAAAUCCGUAGAGAUGCGAAGGAACACCAGAGGCGAAGGCGCCUUCCUGGAAGACUAUUGACGCUGAGGCACGAAAGCGUGGGGAGCAAACAG
rnacentral:rRNA from 1 species